CUGCUAUCACUUGCACGGCUAACACUGGUUUUUGCACUCUCAAGUGAAUCUCCUCUAACACUAAUGCUCCCCUUUGUACUUUCACAGUUUCUCUCCAUGAUCAGUAUACCAUCACUUGUAAUGACAUCACUUCUACAUGUACUGGCACAGCUAUUAACAAUGCUCAUGGCUGUGACAACACCAGUACUUUCAAUGCUACUAUGUGGACUUACAUUACC
rnacentral:misc_RNA from 1 species